UGGGGAAUUUUGCACAAUGGGCGCAAGCCUGAUGCAGCCAUGCCGCGUGUGUGAAGAAGGCCUUCGGGUUGUAAAGCACUUUCAGCGGGGAGGAAGGCGAUAAGGUUAAUAACCUUGUCGAUUGACGUUACCCGCAGAAGAAGCACCGGCUAACUCCGUGCCAGCAGCCGCGGUAAUACGGAGGGUGCAAGCGUUAAUCGGAAUUACUGGGCGUAAAGCGCACGCAGGCGGUCUGUCAAGUCGGAUGUGAAAUCCCCGGGCUCAACCUGGGAACUGCAUUCGAAACUGGGAGGCUAGAGUCUUGUAGAGGGGGGUAGAAUUCCAGGUGUAGCGGUGAAAUGCGUAGAGAUCUGGAGGAAUACCGGUGGCGAAGGCGGCCCCCUGGACAAAGACUGACGCUCAGGUGGGAAAGCGUGGGGGGCAAACAGG
rnacentral:rRNA from 1 species